GCUUACCUCCUCGUUUAUGCGUCAUGACUUGUAUCGUCUUGAGCGUAUUGUGGGUUUCCUGUGUUGCAUACCUGACUGAUGGUAUCGUUUGGUUGAUCGAAGUCCCUUUUCGUCUUGUGUUGCCUUUGCGAAGCAUGACGGACCUCGAAGCAGUCUCUAUGUUCCACCAUGUUGAUGCUAGUGUUUCGAUGUUGUGGCCCAUUGAGUUUGCUUGGUCUUGUGGAUACAGAACAUGAUUUGGGCAUAGGGUCACUUGUGACUCUUGUUUUGUCCUUUACCAGUGUUCUUUAUAACGACGGUUCAUGCGCGCCUAGGCUCGUACCUGCGUGAUGUUCUUGUCGAAGAGGAAUGCUACCUGGUUGAUCCUGCCAGUAGUCAUAUGCUUGUCUCAAAGAUUAAGCCA
rnacentral:misc_RNA from 1 species